UCAGAACGAACGCUGGCGGCAUGGAUUAGGCAUGCAAGUCGAACGGGAGCAGCAAUGCUCCAGUGGCGCAAGGGUGAGGAACACGUGAACAACCUGCCUUCGAGUUGGGGAUAGCUUCUGGAAACGGGAGAUAAUACCGAAUAACAUCACCGGAUCGCAUGAUCUGAUGAUCAAAGCAGCAAUGCGCUUGAAGAGGGGUUCGCGUCCCAUUAGCUAGUUGGUGAGGUAACGGCCCACCAAGGCGAUGAUGGGUAGCUGGUCUGAGAGGACGAUCAGCCACAUUGGGACUGAGAUACUGCCCAGACUCCUACGGGAGGCUGCAGUCGAGAAUUUUGGGCAAUGGACGAAAGUCUGACCCAGCCAAUGCCGCGUGCGGGAUGAAGGUCUUCGGAUUGUAAACCGCUGUCAAGAGGGACGAAACAUGACGGUACCUCUGGAGGAAGCCACGGCUAACUACGUGCCAGCCGCAGC
rnacentral:rRNA from 1 species